rnacentral:rRNA from 1 species
GAUGAACGCUAGCUACAGGCUUAACACAUGCAAGUCGAGGGGAAACGACAUCGAAAGCUUGCUUUGAUGGGCGUCGACCGGCGCACGGGUGAGUAACGCGUAUCCAACCUGCCCAUCACUUGGGAAUAACCUUGCGAAAGUAAGACUAAUACCCAAUGAUAUCCCACGAAGGCAUCCGAAUGGGAUUAAAGAUUUAUCGGUGAUGGAUGGGGAUGCGUCUGAUUAGCUUGUUGGCGGGGUAACGGCCCACCAAGGCUACGAUCAGUAGGGGUUCUGAGAGGAAGGUCCCCCACAUUGGAACUGAGACACGGUCCAAACUCCUACGGGAGGCAGCAGUGAGGAAUAUUGGUCAAUGGGCGAGAGCCUGAACCAGCCAAGUAGCGUGCAGGACGACGGCCCUAUGGGUUGUAAACUGCUUUUAUAAGGGAAUAAAGUGAGUCUCGUGAGACUUUUUGCAUGUACCUUAUGAAUAAGGACCGGCUAAUUCCGUG